rnacentral:rRNA from 1 species
AGUGGCGGACGGGUGAGGAACGCGUGAGAACCUGCCUCAAGGUCGGGGACAACAGUUGGAAACGACUGCUAAUACCGGAUGAGCCUUCGGGUAAAAGAUUUAUCGCCUAGAGAGGGGCUCGCGUCUGAUUAGCUAGAUGGUGAGGUAAAGGCUUACCAUGGCGACGAUCAGUAGCUGGUCUGAGAGGAUGAGCAGCCACACUGGGACUGAGACACGGCCCAGACUCCUACGGGAGGCAGCAGUGGGGAAUUUUCCGCAAUGGGCGAAAGCCUGACGGAGCAAUACCGCGUGAGGGAGGAAGGCUCUUGGGUUGUAAACCUCAAAACUUAGGGAAGAAAAAAAUGACGGUACCUAAUGAAUAAGCAUCGGCUAACUCCGUGCCAGCAGCCGCGGUAAUACGGAGGAUGCAAGCGUUAUCCGGAAUCAUUGGGCGUAAAGAGUCCGUAGGUGGCACUUCAAGUCUGCUUUCAAAGACCGAAGCUCAACUUCGGAAAGGGAGUGGAAACUGAAGAGCUAGAGUAUAGUAGGGGUAGAGGGAAUUCCUAGUGUAGCGGUGAAAUGCGUAGAGAUUAGGAAGAACACCAGUGGCGAAGGCGCUCUACUGGGCAUAUACUGACACUGAGGGACGAAAGCUAGGGGAGCGAAAGGGAUUAGAUACCCCUGUAGUCCUAGCNGUAAACGAUG